rnacentral:rRNA from 1 species
GUCCACGCUGUAAACGAUGUGCACUAGGCGUUGGGGGCUUUCAGCCCUCGGUGCCGUAGCUAACGCGUUAAGUGCACCGCCUGGGGAGUAUGCUCGCAAGGGUGAAACUCAAAGGAAUUGACGGGGGCCCGCACAAGCGGUGGAGCAUGUGGUUUAAUUCGAUGGUACGCGAGGAACCUUACCAGGGUUUGACAUGUGCACGGAUGUCUCAGCGAUGAGGCAGCCUCUUUUGGGGCGUGCACACAGGUGCUGCAUGGCUGUCGU